ACCUCGACGAGGGUUUUUAGUUGGUAGGCGCUCCCACCAGGAGUGAAUCCAACACUAGCCCCCUUAGGGGGUGUCUUUAGAAGAUUUCCCCUCCUCG
rfam:Agrilus planipennis Contig37762, whole genome shotgun sequence.